GGGAGGCAGCAGUGGGGAAUAUUGCACAAUGGGCGCAAGCCUGAUGCAGCGACGCCGCGUGGGGGAUGACGGCCUUCGGGUUGUAAACCUCUUUCAGCAGGGACGAAGCGCAAGUGACGGUACCUGCAGAAGAAGCGCCGGCUAACUACGUGCCAGCAGCCGCGGUAAUACGUAGGGCGCAAGCGUUGUCCGGAAUUAUUGGGCGUAAAGAGCUCGUAGGCGGUUUGUCGCGUCUGCUGUGAAAGCCCGGGGCUUAACCCCGGGUGUGCAGUGGGUACGGGCAGACUAGAGUGCAGUAGGGGAGACUGGAAUUCCUGGUGUAGCGGUGGAAUGCGCAGAUAUCAGGAGGAACACCGAUGGCGAAGGCAGGUCUCUGGGCUGUUACUGACGCUGAGGAGCGAAAGCAUGGGGAGCGAACAGGAUUAGAUACCCUGGUAGUCCAUGCCGUAAACGUUGGGCACUAGGUGUGGGGACCAUUCCACGGUUUCCGCGCCGCAGCUAACGCAUUAAGUGCCCCGCCUGGGGAGUACGGCCGCAAGGCUAAAACUCAAAGGAAUUGACGGGGGCCCGCACAAGCGGCGGAGCAUGCGGAUUAAUUCGAUGCAACGCGAAGAACCUUACCAAGGCUUGACAUGCUCCCGAUCGCCGUAGAGAUACGGUUUCCCCUUUGGGGCGGGUUCACAGGUGGUGCAUGGUUGUCGUCAGCUCGUGUCGUGAGAUGUUGGGUUAAGUCCCGCAACGAGCGCAACCCUCGUUCCAUGUUGCCAGCACGUAAUGGUGGGGACUCAUGGGAGACUGCCGGGGUCAAAUCGGAGGAAGGUGGGGAUGACGUCAAGUCAUCAUGCCCCUUACGUCUAGGGCUACACACGUGCUACAUUGGCCGGUACAGAGGGCUGCAAACCCGUGAGGGGGAGCGAAUCCCAAAAAGCCGGUCCCGGUUCGGAUUGAAGGCUGAAACUCGCCUUCAUGAAGGCGGAGUUGCUAGUAAUCGCGGAUCAGCAAUGCCGCGGUGAAUACGUUCUCGGGCCUUGUACACACCGCCAA
rnacentral:rRNA from 1 species